rnacentral:pre_miRNA from 10 species
GUGUAUAUAUACAUAUACACAUAUAUGUGUAUAUAUGUAUAUAUACACAUAUAUGUGUAUAUGUAUAUAUACAUA